rfam:Picea glauca, whole genome shotgun sequence.
GAGUGUGAUCAUACCAUCAUUAAUGUACCGGAUCCCAUCGAAACUCCACAGUUAAGCGGGCUUGGGCUAAAGUAGUACUGGGAUGGGUGACCUCCUGGGAAGUCCUAGUCUUUCACCCU